rnacentral:rRNA from 1 species
UACGGAGGAUCCAAGCGUUAUCCGGAAUCAUUGGGUUUAAAGGGUCCGUAGGCGGUUUGGUAAGUCAGUGGUGAAAGCCCAUCGCUCAACGGUGGAACGGCCAUUGAUACUGCCAGGACUUGAAUUAUUAGGAAGUAACUAGAAUAUGUAGUGUGAGCGGUGAAAUGCUUAGAGAUUACAUGGAAUACCAAUUGCGAAGGCAGGUUACUACGUAAUGGAUUGACGCUGAUGGACGAAAGCGUGGGUAGCGAACAGG